ensembl:lncRNA
UUUUUUUUUUUUUUUUUUUUUUUUUGUGUGUGUGUGUUUUUAGGGCCUCACCCAUGGGAUAUGGAGGUUUCCAGGCUAGGGGUUGAAUUGGAGCUACAGCUGCUGGUCUACGCUACAGCCACAGCAACGCAGGAUCUGAGCUGUGUCUGCUACUUAUACCACACUUCACCUCAACGCCAGAUCCUUAACUCACUGAGCAAGGCCGGGGAUUGGACCCGCAUCCUCAUGGUUCUUAGUCCGGUUCGUUAACCACCAAACCACAAUGGGAACUGCCACUCCUUUUUAUUUUUUAAGGUCAGUUAAUUUUAUUAUAUUCAUAGUUGCACAACUGUCAUCACGACCCAGUUUUACAACAUUUCCACCCCAAACUCCCAGCCCAUCUCUCCCUGAUCUCCUUUUCUAUUGAAGAAACUUUGCUUACGUUCUCAUAAUUAGGACUCUGGUCUUCUUUCAUUUUGUAGGCUAAAGCUAUAUUCUGGUUCUUCUUCUUUUUUGUUUAUACUUUUGUUUUUAUUUUUUUUUUUAGGGCCACACUUGCGGCAUGUGGAAGUUCCCAGGCUAGGGAUCGAAGCACACCUACAGCUGCCUGCCCAUGCCACAGCCACAGCCACGCCAGAUGCUCGCUGCUUCUGCAGGCUGCACUGCAGUUUGCGGCAAUGCUGGGUCCUUAAUCCAUCGAGGGCAGGGAUCGAUCCUUCAUCCUCAUGGAUGCUAGUGAGGUCCUUAAUCCACUGAGCCACAAUGGGAAUUCCUUGAUUCUUCUUCUUUUUUACAGUUUUGCUUUAAACGUGUUUAUUGUUGUAUUGUUCAUGGUAGAGGUAGUUGGAAAUAAUUGCCAAGUCAAGGCUUAAAUAGAUGAUUGUGAUAAAAUUUCAUUCUGUAAUUCAGAGUUAUGGUUUCAAAGAGUACUCCACACGAAAAGAUACACAAAUGUAGUGGUAAAGUGUGCAACAUGAUGAUUUGAUAAACAUAUGCAUUGUGAAAUGAUUACUAAAGUUAGCUUAUCUAUCCCCUCACAUAGUUACCUUUUUUUUUUUUUUAAUUGGUGGUGGUGGUUUAAGAUCUACUCUCUUAGCAAAUUUCAAGUACACAGUAGAGGAUAAUUAACUGUAGUCACCACGCCUAGGUUUGAUAUUCAUCUUGUAGCUGAAAGUUUGUAUCCUUUGACCACUUCCCCCCCCAUUUCCCUCACCCUCUGCACCUGGCAACUACCAACCUGCUCUGCUUCUAUCUUGAGUUUGACUUUUUUUGGUGUUAGAUUCUACAUAUGAGCGAGAAUGUAUAGUAUUUAUCUCUCUCUUCCUGGAUUAUUUCACUUUGUGCUCUGAUUUUUUUUUUUUUUAAUUGGGAGCAAUGAAGCUUCUGAGUGAUUAGAAUCCACCAUAAAGUCAGAGAUGUUUGAAUAAAUGUGCUUAGUGGAUUUCUCUGAAUGUUCAUAGAUGAACUACAGGAAGAAGGGGUUGCAGAGCCCUGGGCUCACGGUGUCAUAGAAUUUAACUUGUGCAUUCAUGUGGACAAGAAUUUUGGCAGUUACAGUGGGAAAAAAGGGUGGGUGUGAGAGUGAUUAUGAGGAAGGAAAUGGCCGUGUUUCGGAUCAGAGUUCGUAUGUGAGGUGAACGAUAAGGAGCAGUUGGUUACCUCUAGGUUAUGACGCAAGGAAAGGCAGAGUGCCAGGAGCCCACGUGGAAGGAAGAAGAGCGAUGUGUUUACACUCACGUCAGCAUUGCUCUUUAAAGUGAUUUCAGGAAGACAAGGACAUACAAUCAGGUGUGGUAGUGGGAUUUGAUCUUUGUGUGGACGGUUAAGUCAUAAUUACUGACUUAAUUGGAGUAUGGAGGUAUCACUGUACAUAGAACACCGGGAUGGAGUCACACUAAGGCCUGGGGAAGUCAUGUAGAGUGAUCUGAAUUUAUGUACAAGGAUUUGAGCGCAGUAUUUGGUUUUGGAGGUUAUCCCAGCAGAUCCCAGCAGGGGACAGGGAAGGAAGAUAGGGAAGGAAGGGGAUUUAGCAAAUAAAGGGCUUGUUGUCAGGCAGCUUCCCCCUGGGAGGAACUGAAGCUUAUUCCCACUGGGGAACUCUAGGAGCCAGUGUGAAACUGUCCUUAAACUCCUUGAGGGGCAAGGUAGAUAGAGGUUUAUAUACCAACUCUGUCAGGCGUUGCUUAAGACCGUUUCCAGGGAGGGGUAAAUCUGGGAUAUUUCACGCCUGUCAUACAGGGAACAAAAUGGACUUCUAAGCUCAGAGAAAGCCUGGUUUCUCUGUUUUUAAUUUUUUAAUUUUUUUGUCUUUUGUCUGUUCAGGGCCACACCCAUAGCAUAUGGAGGUUCCCAGGCUAAGGGUCAAAUCAGAGCUACAGUUGCCACCUACGCCACAGCCACAGCAGUGCCAGAUCCGAGCUGCGACUGCAACCUUUACCACAGCUCACGGCAAUGCCGGAUCCUUAACCCACUGAGCGAGGCCGGGAUUGAACCCAAAACCUCAUGGUUCCUAGUCCGAUUCUUUACCACUGCGCGAUGACGGGAACUCCUGG